rnacentral:rRNA from 1 species
GUCUAUGGCCAUGCCACCUUGAAUAAGCCCGAUCCCGUCUAAUCUCGGAAGCUAAGCAGGGUUGGGCCUAGUUAGUACUUGGAUGGGAGACCACCUAGGAAGACCAGGUGCUGUAGGAG